GACUCGGUGGUGGAUGGUUCACAUCCGCGGAGCUUGAGCGGCAUGAUGUUAAACUUCCUCUGCGGGCGGACGGUUGCCUGUUCGACCCAGGCCCGAGUCA